rnacentral:rRNA from 1 species
GAUGAACGCUGGCGGCGUGCCUAAUACAUGCAAGUCGAGCGCACGGACGAUAAGCUUGCUUCUUUGAUGUUAGCGGCUGACGGGUGAGUAACACAUGGAUAACCUACUUAUAUGACUGGGAUAACUUCGUGAAACCGGAGAUAAUACCGGAAAAUAUUUUGAUCUUCAUUGUUCCAUAGUGAAUGACGGUAUUGCUGUCACUUAUAGAUAGCACAGGGCUGCAUUAGCUAGUUGGUAAGGUAACGGUUUACUAAGGCAACGAUCCAUAGCAGACAGGAGAGGGGGAUCGGCAAAACUGGAACUGGGACACGGUCCAGACCCCUACGGGAGGCAGCAGUAGGGAAUCUUCGGCAUUGGGCGAAAGCCUGACGGAGCAACGCCGCGUGGGUGAUGAAGUUCUUCGGAUCUUAAAACUCGGUUAUUAGGGAAGACCAGAUGUAGAAGUAAAUGUGCACAUCUUGACGGUACCUAAUCAGAAAGCCACGGCUAACUACGUG